rnacentral:rRNA from 2 species
GAGUGGCGGACGGGUGAGUAACACGUGAGGUAACCUGCCCUUAAGUGGGGGAUAACAUUUGGAAACAGAUGCUAAUACCGCAUAAAUCCRAGAACCGCAUGGUUCUUGGCUGAAAGAUGGCGUAAGCUAUCGCUUUUGGAUGGACCCGCGGCGUAUUAGCUAGUUGGUGAGGUAACGGCUCACCAAGGCAAUGAUACGUAGCCGAACUGAGAGGUUGAUCGGCCACAUUGGGACUGAGACACGGCCCAAACUCCUACGGGAGGCRGCAGUAGGGAAUCUUCCACAAUGGACGCAAGUCUGAUGGAGCAACGCCGCGUGAGUGAAGAAGGCUUUCGGGUCGUAAAACUCUGUUGUUGGAGAAGAAUGGUCGGCAGAGUAACUGUUGUCGGCGUGACGGUAUCCAACCAGAAAGCCACGGCUAACUACGUGCCAGCAGCCGCGGUAAUACGUAGGUGGCAAGCGUUAUCCGGAUUUAUUGGGCGUAAAGCGAGCGCAGGCGGUUUUUUAAGUCUGAUGUGAAAGCCCUCGGCUUAACCGAGGAAGUGCAUCGGAAACUGGGAAACUUGAGUGCAGAAGAGGACAGUGGAACUCCAUGUGUAGCGGUGAAAUGCGUAGAUAUAUGGAAGAACACCAGUGGCGAAGGCGGCUGUCUGGUCUGUAACUGACGCUGAGGCUCGAAAGCAUGGGUAGCGAACAGGAUUAGAUACCCUGGUAGUCCAUGCCGUAAACGAUGAAUGCUAGGUGUUGGAGGGUUUCCGCCCUUCAGUGCCGCAGCUAACGCAUUAAGCAUUCCGCCUGGGGGAGUACGACCGCAAGGUUGAAACUCAAAGGAAUUGACGGGGGGCCCGCACAAGCGGUGGAGCAUGUGGUUUAAUUCGAAGCAACGCGAAGAACCUUACCAGGUCUUGACAUCUUUUGAUCACCUGAGAGAUCAGGUUUCCCCUUCGGGGGCAAAAUGACAGGUGGUGCAUGGUUGUCGUCAGCUCGUGUCGUGAGAUGUUGGGUUAAGUCCCGCAACGAGCGCAACCCUUAUGACUAGUUGCCAGCAUUYAGUUGGGCACUCUAGUAAGACUGCCGGUGACAAACCGGAGGAAGGUGGGGAUGACGUCAAAUCAUCAUGCCCCUUAUGACCUGGGCUACACACGUGCUACAAUGGAUGGUACAACGAGUUGCGAGACCGCGAGGUCAAGCUAAUCUCUUAAAGCCAUUCUCAGUUCGGACUGUAGGCUGCAACUCGCCUACACGAAGUCGGAAUCGCUAGUAAUCGCGGAUCAGCACGCCGCGGUGAAUACGUUCCCGGGCCUUGUACACACCGCCCGUCACACCAUGAGAGUUUGUAACACCCGAAGCCGGUGGCGUAACCCUUUUAGGGAGCGAGCCGUCUAAGGUGGGACAAAUGAUUAGGGUGAAGUCGUAACAAGGUAGCCGUAGGAGAACCUGCGGCUGGAUCACCUCCUUUCU